GGCAGUCAUUUGGUAACGACCACUAGGUGGCGCCGCGGCUGUAGUAGGGCUGGGAGCGCGGAUUGUCCCUCGCUGGACACCGUACUCCCGGACCCGUUGUAUUCUGGGUGCCGCGGGAGUUUUUUUUAUGUUUUUUUGCUUUCUGUGAAAAGAAUAAAAGCGGAGCCGUAGGUCCCGGCCGCAACUUCGA